CCCUAUGGGGUGCAGCAGGAUGUAGUUCGUGCAGGUUGUGCCGCCAUCAGGACAGCUGUCGCGCGAGGCGACCACGGUGCCGGCAUGCGAAGCAACCAGAGGGAAGUGCCCGCUAUCGGUGAAAUCGUAGGCGUAGUGACAGGUUUCAAUCGGACAGGAGGGAUAACCCAGGGCGGGAUAAUCUUGAAAAUGAGCGAUGGAACCCUCCAGGCGGUGGCUGGUGCCCGCGACGUAUGGAAGGUAAUAGCCCCCCAGGGCUUGCGGGGUGAUGGCCUGAGCAUUUUCGGCCCCUAAAUGAAUUGGCGGGAGAGC
rnacentral:rRNA from 1 species